UCACCUGAAAGUAAGAAAAUAGACAAGGGUGCUGGUAAAAAAAGAUCUGGUUCAGAUGCAGUGAACACAAUACGUUAAAAAAAACAACAUCUUAAGACCAUUCGGACCCUAAUGCGAACAAACUCCGCAUUUUCUCCCAGACAAUCUCGCCUGCUUCUCCCCAAAAUAACGCCCCACUUGUACCCGAACAAAAACUUCAUUUUUAUCGCUCAACUUUGAAACGAGGACCCCGCCUAAGAAAAUAUAUAUUAAAAAUGGACAUUUUCAAAAGGCAAAAGUCAAACAAAUAAUGGACGAGAGAGUUUCUUUUGUAUUUUGUUAUUGUGCCUAGACCCUUUCGCUGUUACGAAACAAUGAACACACAGCCAGAAAGCCGAAUAAUCAUUAUUUCCCCAAAAAAGAAAAUGCUAAAAACCGUUUUGCAAAUAAAAUAGAUGUAUUCAUUACAAAUAGGUUUAUGGUCGUAAUUUCUGGGAAAACCUUAUUUCGGGACCGGAUUUCGCAUCGUAUAUACACAAUCAUAAAUCCGGUAUUAAAAGAUAAUAACAGCGCUCAACCGCUUUAUGUCCUUAAUAAAAUCUAGGGACGACUCUAUCCAAAUCUCUAUGACGGUAAUUGAGAAUAAACCGCUCUAAUUUUAUUAGAAGCCAUGAAAAUUUCGAGGUCGUUAACGGGAAUUUCAAAUGGAGAAUUUAUAUUAAGGAAAAUGAUUAUAUGAAAGAGUUAUUGGGUUAUUCUUAUUAAUUAAAAAGCAUGAUAUUCUUCACAAAUGUUGAUUAAGCCUUAAGCUUGUUUAGAGUUAGCUAAUUUUUUCUGGAAUAUCCAGUAAGAAAAUCAAAAUUUAGAUCCUACUAAACCUUGACCCAAAAUUGACCCAACAUUUCAAAAUAUCGAACAUUUUUAGUAAUGGCUUCUAAGGACUGGGUCUGGAUUUUAAGGUGAACACUCACUUCAAAGUCUGAAAUCUAAAAAACUCGUGCUAUUUUCUUCCAAUAAAAAGCUCUGAUAUUCAGAAGAGUAUUCUUUAUAAUAAUGUUUCUUUAGAUUGAAACUAAUCUAGGCAAAGGUUUUAGAGAUAUCGAACUUUUAAAAUAGUGGUGUCAUGGAAUAAGGUCUGGUGCCUAAAUAAAUAAAUGGACGCCACUGAAUGCCCCGCCCAUUGCAACGGCUUUAGGUUUUACCCGAGCCAAUCAGAGCAAAGCGGAGGCGGAACCAACAUAGGCGUAUCAAUAAUUACCUUUUAAUUGUUAUUUCCCACGUUAAAUAUGUCGAAAUAUUAUGAUUAUAUUUCGUUUUUUCAAUACAUCAGUUUAAAAAAUUGUAAGGUGAGACUUCUAUAGAACUUAAAUGGGAUCAACUUUCUGGAAUGAAGACAAAAUUCUUCCAGGCAGUCGGAAAAUAGAUGAGAAAAGUAGGUAAACAAAACAGACGCUAAGUGGGAUCAACUGCCUCCAGGACUUUUUUUUUAAAUAAAAUACAAUAAAUUACUGCUUUGAAAAGUCCAUUUUUACUGUUACAAAAGUGGUAUCAAAAUGGCGGUGGCGGUUGAUUUUAAUAUCAAUCCAAAGCUCUUAAUUAAAUUAAGCUCCUGUGCUUAAAAGUUUGAAUCAAGCAACUUACUUUAAUAAAUUAAAAAUUAGUAAAGUUUUUAAUAUAUCAAAUUUCUUGCAGGUGCUGAAUCCAAUGGCAGAAUGCAUAGAUGCCAUACUAUGAUAAUUUAAAGUACACAAAAACACGAAAAAAAAUAACAAAAUAAAUAAAUAGACGCCACUGAAUGCCCCGCCCAUUGCAACGGAAUAAGCUUCUACCCGAGCCAAUCAGAGCAAAGCGGAGGCGGAGCCAGCAUAGGCGUAUCAAUAUUUUGUUUAAAAUUAUUUCCUUACUGUUAAAUAUGUCGAAAUAUUAUGAUCAUAUUUCGUAUUUUAAAUACAUCAUUUCAAGAAAUUUUAAGGUUCUGAGAAAACCAGAAGUCCAUUUUUACUAUUUUAAAAAAUUAUAUCAAUAUGGCGGCCGCAGGUAAUUUUAUGUCAAUCCAGACUACUUAAUUAAAUUAAACUCCUCUGCUUAAGAGUGCCUAAUCAAGCAACUUAUAUGAAUAAAAAGAAGCACGCAUUGCAGUUGUCACAGGAAAUGGCAUGCGAAUUCUGUCGAACACAUUCUGGAUUUAACCGAUGUAAAAUCCAGAAUGUAAUCCACAUUGUCAUGCUCUGCAAAUAUAAAAUAAAUAAUAAAUUUUUUGCAGGUGCUGAAUCCAAUGGCAGAUUGCCUAAAUACUCGAGCCAAUCAGAACAAAGCGGAGGCGGAGCCAGCAUAGGCGUAUCAAGAAUUUUCUUUUAAUUAUUAUUUCCUUAAUGUUAAAAAUGUCGAGAUUUGAUGGUCAUGCUUGGAAUUUUAAAUACAUCAUUUCAAAAAGUUUUAAGUUGGGAUUUCUUCAGAAUAUGAAUUGGAGGAUAUCAAGCACAUUUUUCUUUUACGGUUAAAAAUUACACUUUUUUCUAAGUGCUGAAUCAAAUGGGCAGAAUAC
rnacentral:lncRNA from 1 species